rnacentral:rRNA from 1 species
AUUGAACGCUGGCGGCAUGCCUUACACAUGCAAGUCGAACGGCAGCACGGGUGCUUGCACCUGGUGGCGAGUGGCGAACGGGUGAGUAAUACAUCGGAACAUGUCCUGUAGUGGGGGAUAGCCCGGCGAAAGCCGGAUUAAUACCGCAUACGAUCUACGGAUGACAGCGGGGGGCCUUCGGGCCUCGCGCUAUAGGGUUGGCCGAUGGCUGAUUAGCUAGUUGGUGGGGUAAAGGCCUACCAAGGCGACGAUCAGUAGCUGGUCUGAGAGGACGACCAGCCACACUGGGACUGAGACACGGCCCAGACUCCUACGGGAGGCAGCAGUGGGGAAUGUUGGACAAUGGGCGAAAGCCUGAUCCAGCAAUGCCGCGUGUGUGAAGAAGGCCUUCGGGUUGUAAAGCACUUUUGUCCGGAAAGAAAUCCUUGGCCCUAAUACGGUCGGGGGAUGACGGUACCGGAAGAAUAAGCACCGGCUAACUACGUG